rnacentral:misc_RNA from 1 species
CCGAGUAUUGAAACGGGUUGCAGCUGGCCUUUUACCGGGCAAGUGCUCGCCCUUUCGAAUUCACUCUCUACACCUGUGCACUUAUUGUGGGUCUUGGUUUUGUUCACUCUCCUGUGUGAUCUUAGUUGAUCUUACGGGGGAGGGGGGAACUGGGCUCACAUUUUAUCACAAACCCCUUCAGUAUCAGAAUGUUUAUUGCGAUAUAACGCAUUUAUAU